UUAAAUUUAAACAAUACUACACUUCAUUAAAAUUUCUGUAAUAUUUUUAAUGCAAUAUUUUAUUUAUCUUGUUUAUUAUGGGUCACAUAAUAUUCUGUCAGAUCACAAGCCUGAUCUGGACCACACUCCUCCCACCAACAAUCGGCCCUCGUAUUGUUUGCCAUGAUCCACGCUGUUCCAUCAUUGCCCAGCUCUGGCUGAAAGGGUACAUGCCAUUGCCGACAGCAGUGCCAGCUUGAGGCCACAUUUGGGCCAAGAUCACUUGCUAUGUGGGAAGGACCACAAUGUUCAUGAACAUCGCUCUUAGGGCCAACCUAUACAUUGUCUUUACUUUUGAAUAACUAAAAAACAGACUGUCACAUGGUGAGAAGUUCACCAGUUUACUUUCUUUACAGUCUCAUAUCACAAAUGCUAUAAAGUCCUACUGCUGUCAAUAGCUUGCAAUAUCUAUGCUAUUAAAUAAAAGUAUGUAGGCAAAUUUUGUAACUUGCAUGCAGUUAUGGCAGUAUUUUAAAAUAAGUGUUAUGGUGGACAGAGGACUAACUAGCAGGCUGUGUAACACUGAAGGGCCAAAUACAGAAAAUACCACACAACUGGUGCUUCUAAAAGAAAGAUCAUGGAUUUGUUAAAAUACAAAAGGGUGCUUAUUGGUCAUGUAUAACCGCACAAGUAUAGCCAAACAUGUACACACACACGACUGCCAUGAUUUUGCCAAGUAAGACCUGUUCCUGAAUCAGCAUAUUUUAUUGAUCUUGUCUAAAAACAUAGUCCCUCUGGCCCUAAACCUAACUUAACCCUAAAAUCAGAGGGAAAUGACGGGUGGUGAACAGUGAAUAGCACAGAUGCACCUAACCCGGGUUGUAAGCAUAAUGUGAAAUCACCAUUUGAUCAAUUAAUUAAAUGUAACAGCCUACAAAUAAAAAUAAACAAAAAUACACAUUUGUAAUCUUUCACUUAAAACAAGUUAUUAUUUUUAUCAUAGUUGAAACGCUAUUUGCUGUCGCUCAGUGUUUGGUUGGUUAAUCUGACUGUCACUCAGGAAUCUGGCCAAUGACUAGCGAGCGCGCCGUUUUCCCGGUCAAAUUUGAUUAUACACUGUCGCAGCAGUGUCAGUGAAGUGAGAUACUAAUCGCGAUUACACGUCUCAGUGUCCUACCUGUGUUUUGUUAGUAUGUGCUAAUACUGUUAGCUAGGGCUGAGCGAUAUAUGACCAUGUCGUGGCGAUGAUAUGAAGCGCAAUAUAUUUCCUCAUAACACAGUACUACUUAAAGUUGAGUCAAGAUAAACAUUCAGGUGGAAACUCGGUGACGUGUCAGUAUACUAGAUUUGUGCAUUUUGUUCUUAAAGUGACAGCAGUAUAAUUUAGCCUAACGUUACCUGCAGUCGGUCAUAAUUUUAAUCAAACAACAAAAUACUGAAGAGAACAUCACAAAAUGUAUUUAACUUGUCUUUGUUCUAUUGCAUUAGUCCUAUUGUUUGUAAUUUGCUACUUUGAUCUUAUAUAUGUGAUAUUGCGAUAUAUUGUUAUUGUGAAGUCAAAUUUCCUAUAUUGUGAAAUAAUAUGGUCAUAUCGCCCACCCAUACUGUCAGCUAGUUUUGAGAUCAAACUCAUAAGAAAAAAGUGACAGAACUUUGAAAUGAGUAACCUGAGAACACUGUGAUGUAAACUCAUUUAACAGAGGACCGGAAGGCAUGAUCCUUUGAGAAGAAUACUGUAUGUAAACCAGGAUGAAUCAGCUGUGAACAUUUUGUAUGGAGCUGUUUUGAGAAUGAAAAUCUUCUACCACAUGAUCUUCAGAGGAAUGCAGGAAUACCUGCUCGGUCUCGCUCUCCAGGGGAAAAUCACUGCGAUGAAGCCCUCCUGACCGCUAACAUGGCAGAAAACACUUCAAAGCCACCGGACACAUGUGUGACCGAUGGCCCUUUCCUGCCUGUCGGAGAUGAGAGGGAAUAUCUCACACAUACUCCAAAACACACUUCCAGAGCAUCCGACGCGUUCCCGACCGCUCUGCUGUCAGCGUUAUGGUUAUGGUUGGCUGAUUGUUGAGUGAUGGUGGAGUGUGAACACACACACACACACACACACGUCGAUGCCAAAUCUCAGAUCCACAGACAAGGUCAUCAUCAGCAUGACACAGAUUCAAGACAGAAUACUCAUAUUAUUUCUGUAUUACGGACACUAUGCAAAUUUUCAAUAUGCAUAGAAUUUAUAGAUGACCUCAAGGCUGAAGUUCAUGCAUCAUGUUCAUACAUCCACAGAAACACACACACACACACACACACAUAUAUAUAUAUAUAUAUAUAUAUAUAUAUAUAUAUAUAUAUAUGCAGCGCUCAGUGCAUGUCAGAUCUCAGCGACACGAAGAGAAAAGAGAGAGAGCUGGAAAUGAGGUUAUGAUAUUGAAGCAGCAGUUAUUGCUAUAGCUUCAUAUUCAUAAUGAAAUGUUUUGACAGGUUCUCUCCUCUGAAGCUUAUUGAGCUGCUGAAAUGUCCAAAUAUCUGUGAUGUUAAAUAUGCUCUCAUUCUCUCAUUCAGAUUUCUUAAGAAAACUGUAGUAAAUGGAAAGAUGAAUUAUGUGAAAUGUGACACUUCUUGAGAGGUUUCGUGAGAUUUUGACAUUUCGUGAUAUUGAGACAUUGGAAGACAAAUUACAGACAGUCCUGACGCUCCGCCUGAAACGAGCCGCUAGAAUAACAAGGUCGUUCUUCCACGAGCUCCAGACUGGAAGUGGUACUUUCCAGGCCCAGGGCGAUGUUCUGCUGUCUGGAGAUGUAAAUGCCAGGACCGGUUCUGAGUGUGACAGCGCUGGAGCUCUCAGGAAUAAACUCAGUCAAAACCGCUCCGUACCUGCUCCCCGGACUGAACCGAAAAACGAAAGUCGUACGGGAUUGUAAGAACAUGAAGUGGAGUAAAUGCCAUGUUCCUUUAAAGUGUGUUCAGGUGACAUACUAUGUUCAAUCCUCCGGUCGAAGCGUCAGCGGCUCUCUGUCCGUCUCUCCCCGUAAUGAGGCAGUGGAGGAAAUGAGCGAGUGAAUGUGUGGAGGUGUAAUAGACGGAGGGAGAAAUGGAAAGAGAUGAAUCGCUAGCAGAUAGAUAAUUGGAAAGAGGCUCUCUGGAGAAGCGCAUCAGAAGGCUUGUGUAAUUAGAACGGAGGAGUGUGUGAGGAAUCUAAAUGUUUCUGUGUUUGGGUCUCGGGAGGGUCUGCCGUCCUGUAGAGCCACUCAGACACACAAGUCCAUCUGUUUCCUGCAGCGUCACCUGCAUCCAGACACGCCAACAGCUGUUCGUUUGUAUAGUUCUGAGUGUGUGCGGAUGAUUUCGAGUGUAUUGAUCAUUUCUCAUCACGCUCCACGUAAACACAAGUGCAUCUGGAAAUAGAAGCUCAUUUCUUAGCUUUGCACGAGGGCCGCUGUGGUGGCAUUAAUGUAAACUUUCUUCCACUUUCAGUUCAUUCGGAGAAGCAGUUUGAAGAGAAACUUACUGAGCAAUCUGUCCUGCACGGCGCUACAGGUCUAAAGAUAUCUGAAUCUCAUUUAGUUUGGAAGACGGAGAGUAAGGCUGAAUAUCCAGACUCAAGAAUCCUGCCAGAGCCAGAACGAUCUACCUACGAGGCCGAGAGAGCGAGAUAAAGUCAUGACUGUUUGAAGAAACUCAACAACAUGAGUGUGA